UCACUAAAAACUCCUGCCGCUCACAACC
rnacentral:sRNA from 1 species